AGAGGGAUGGCUGAGCAGUUAAGAGCAUUGGACUGCUCUUCCAGAGGACCAGGGUCAGUUCCUGGUACCUGUA
rnacentral:tRNA from 1 species